rnacentral:tRNA from 1 species
GAUCUUUUAGUAUAAGCGAGUAUGUUCAAUUUCCAAUUAAGUGGUUUCGAAGAUUA